ACACGUAAGGGGCAAGCGUUGUUCGGAAUUAUUGGGCGUAAAGGGCGCGUAGGCGGUUUUACAAGUCUGGUGAGAAAGAUCUCAGCUUAACUGAGGGACCGCGCUGGAAACUGUAAGACUAGAAUCUAGGAGGGGAAGCUGGAAUUCCUGGUGUAGGGGUGAAAUCUGUAGAUAUCAGGAAGAACACCGGUGGCGAAGGCGAGCUUCUGGCCAUAGAUUGACGCUGAGGCGCGAAAGCGUGGGGAGCGAACAGGAUUAGAAACCCUAGUAGUCC
rnacentral:rRNA from 1 species